CUUUUAUUGAACUUAAAAAAUUCUUGAAACAUUUUCACAUUUUGUAAGUAGAAAUUGAAACACGUUUCUAAACAUAACUUCUCUCCUCACUCAUUUUAGGCUAAUUAUUUGAGNGGUCGCGUGCAGCGCUGCAGCCACGUAAAGAGAGUUUGCCCUUCCACUACCGACUUUCACUUUAGGACGGGUGCCCGAAUAUGGAAGUGAAUGAGGCUUUGCGAUUUUUUUUAUUUAUUUAUUUUUUUAUCUAGGCCUACGUGAAAUUCUGCAUCCAUUGUACGAUUUUUUUUUAUUUAUUUUUUUUCCACCUCGGAAGGGCAACGUGAGUCGAGAAGGGCAUAUGGGCAGUUGCCCGGGCAACCUGAGCAACCCCCCUGUGCACGUUCCUGCCUAUGGGUGUUCCUCCUAUGGUCUAUCCCUCUCCUCAUGGCAUGAUUCCUGGAGGAUCAGGUUCAGGUAUACGGCCACCGAUGGGUGGACCUACGCAAAUGAUGCCCGGGCCACACGUGACGCAACCUCCCGCUCGGCCAGUGAUGCCAGCCAUUAGAUCCGGAAUGCUGCGACCUUUGCUGUAAAGCCACCAUGCUGUGACUACUAACCUGAUAUCCACAAAGACUCGGCCAAAUAUCCACACUGGAUUUACAGUCGAUCGACGAGUUUUAUUGCCCAUUUGCAUUCUGUGACGUCUGCGAUUCAGAAAAUUCGAGUGACUCGGAUUACCACAAAUUCUUGUAAAAUUUAAUGAACCUUCCAUCGGCUUUCAUUUCAUAUUUCUGACGGACCGUGUUGCGUAAGGUUUGUGUAUGAUGUGCAUUUAUUACUCUGAUGGAUGUUUUGGUUAUGUAGCCUCUACUAUAAGGUGGAUUUUUCAGCUUCUGUUUCUCAUGUGUUUUGAGAAAAUUAAAAAAACUGGCAUGUUUUCAUUUGGUCUGCUUGUAUAACAUUGGAAUAGAAACCCAGUCAGUAAUGUACACCUUGAUGACUCACAAUAAUAUAAUCAAAGCCAGAAUACAGAAUAUGCUCAAAUCGAAUGCAAUUCAAACACAAGACAAAAACACAGAGCAAAAAGUCUAUUGAAUUUAUUAGUUCAGUGGCAUUGAGAGAGUAUAAUGAUUGUUCUUUAAGUAAAUGGAAUGAACAUUCAGGACAAAAGGUACAUUUAUUAGACAUCUUUUAAUUGUAGUUACUUUACCUUCUACAUAGGCCAACAGUGGUGUUUUAUCUUGUGUUGUCAAGUGCAAGCAUUCUGUCCUGAUCCUGCUAUGUUUCUGACAUCCUCAUACUCUUCCCAACCAGGAAGAAAAGCGGAUACUAAUGUAAUUGGUGUUAAAUCGUUUGUCAGUAUUUGCUCCAAUUAUGUGAAGUUCAAGUGAAUUCAAUGAGGAAGCGAGGGACAAGUUGCCUGAGGGGUUUGGAGGUCUUCUCCUUUUCUGUAAAUCAUUCUGUUCCACUGCUGCAUAUAUGCCCAUUUUCUUUUCCAUCAAGAAAAACUCCAAACCCCUCAGGCAACUUGUCCCUCGCUUCCUCGUUGAAUUCAGUUUAGCUAGACUCUUCGCAAGGUAAAAAUAUUUUAGCUGAUUUACAUGAAAGUACUUCUUUUCAACCACAACAUUUCCAUCUCAGGUCCAAAUUUGGACCCAUUUUGUUUUAAAUGGCACAAAUCUUCAACAAGCAGUUCUAUAAUGUCCACAGAGUCCAAAAAGAUCAAUUUUUUUUUAGGUAUAUUCUGCUAACGUCACUCACAAAGUCCUUCUCCGUAUGAAAAUAAACCACAGUUUAAGAGGAAACA
ensembl:lncRNA